GACAUUGAGCGCCAGCUUUCGACACGAAAACCGGCAGGGAAUUACAACGCCGAUACGCCGCAUACGAAUGAUGCGCAAGCCUGAUGCAGCCAUGCCGCGUGUAUGAAGAAGGCCUUCGGGUUGUAAAGUACUUUCAGCGGGGAGGAAGGUGUUGUGGUUAAUAACCGCAGCAAUUGACGUUACCCGCAGAAGAAGCACC
rnacentral:rRNA from 1 species